rnacentral:lncRNA from 15 species
CUAUCAUAAACAUCCUAGUCCCAGAUCUGCGAGGGCAGGAAGUGCGCGAGGACAGGAAUUCCACUCUUUCAAAUUACAUUACGGCUCUUUGCAAUGAUGGCUCUUCAGUUUACCACGCGCACACCGCGCCUAUGAGCCUAUGUCAAAUAAAAGACACGAACCAGGGAAGACGAGAAGACCACAGACUUUCUCUGGAACAAUAAAAGAAGACUAAACAACUCCCGAAAUCAUAAGAGUCACAGACUGAUGCUGUAAUCUGGAAACAAACCCUGAAGCUGCUUCAGUAAAUAAAGUAGCCCU